rnacentral:rRNA from 1 species
AUGGCUGUCGUCAGCUCGUGUCGUGAGAUGUUCGGGUUAAGUCCCGUAACGAGCGCAACCCUUGCCUUAGUUACCAGCACGUAUGGUGGGCACUCUAAGGAGACUGCCGGUGGACAAACCGGAGGAAGGUGGGGAGUGACGUCAAGUCAUCAUGGCCCUUACGGCCUGGGCUACACACGUGCUACAAUGGUCGGUACAAAGGGUUGCCAAGCCGCGAGGUGGAGCUAAUCCCAUAAAACCGAUCGUAGUCCGGAUCGCAGUCUGCAACUCGACUGCGUGAAGUCGGAAUCGCUAGUAAUCGUGAAUCAGAAUGUCACGGUGAAUACGUUCCCGGGCCUU